AACAUCGCGCACCUGCGGGAACCUGCGGAAGGAUCAUUACACAAUACAAUAUGAAGGCUGUCCGCAGCUGGAGUAUUUUAUUACCCUUGUCUUUUGCGCACUUGUUGUUUCCUGGGCGGGUUCGCUCGCCACCAGGACCACCAAAUAAACCUUUUUUAUGCAGUUGCAAUCAGCGUCAGUACAAACAAUGUAAAUCAUUUACAACUUUCAACAACGGAUCU
rnacentral:misc_RNA from 1 species